rnacentral:lncRNA from 1 species
GCAUACAGUAUCAAGACUCGUGAAAAACACAGUUGCAUUAGGAUACUCAUUCUAGCCUACAAACUCUACUUUGGUCAGAAAUUGCAUCAACAAGUACUAACUUCCACACUAAGGGUAUCGUUGGAACACAUAGUCGCAAUCGUGCAAUCAUAAGUCUCCCUCCUAUACAAACCAAUCUGAAUCAUGUCAUCAUGUCUAA